ensembl:lncRNA
UAACUUUUGAAAUUGUAAAAAACAAAAACUUUAAUUUUAAGGCUAAAAUUGUUAGAGAGAGAGAAAGAUUAAAAAAGCAAUAUUGGCAUAAGAAGUCAGCCAUAAUUUUUUAUUAUAAUUGCUUUAAUAUUUAUAAGUAGGCUACGCGCUCUAACAAACAUUCCGGAAGCAUUUUGUCAUCAUGUGACAAGAAAAACAAAGAAGAACCAUUUAAGACCACCAUGACUUGAUUGUGUCGAGUUUAAAGGUAAUAGGCCUACUUAUUAUUAUUUAAUAUUUGCAAGCUUUAUUCAAACGAAGUAGGCCUAGGCACUAAGUCCUAAGACAACUUUAUGAUAUUAAUGAGUUUUUUUUUUAAACGAUCGUAUUAUUAUUUAUUUUAAAUUGAGAUUAAAAAUUAUUCCUUGGAUUCACAGUAGCCUACAAGGAACGUAUUUAAAAACUUGAAAUUAAAUGAAUGGUUACACCACUGGACAUUUUCAAGUCUUUUUGUAAAAAAAUAAAUAAAAAGGAAUGUUAACUUGGAACUUGGCACACGUGUUUUAAACUAGACCUUUAAAAAUGAUUUCUCCUUUUUAUCAUCUCGAGCAUUUGUUAGUGACCCGUAUGUAUAGCGGCUCCACAGUAGAAGGUAAGCUUGAGACUCACGGGUCUGAAGGUCUGAACUGAGGAAUGUUGCGCUGCAUACCGCAACGCGCAUGCGCAGCGCAUUCAUAGGGCACUAUAUAGCAUACUGAGGCCUACAGAUUCUCUGUUCUCGUGAUCCUGGUUCAGCUCUGAGCUAGUAGCCUAGUUUUUGAAGCUUCAGAUGAGGAGUGGGCGUCGUAUUCUCGCCCUGUUGUCAUGAUUCAACAUUUUCACUGAGAAAAAAAGCAUCCUGUUGGAGCAUGUCGUUAACUCCAAGGCAGAAGCUGGUAUGCUUGGAAUUGCAGAGCACCAAGACUGCUUUUGGACUCAGAUAACCAAAGGGCCUACAAUAUGCUUUGCACUCAGUGUUUCUCAUAUUUGAAUGCCUGAGUCAGUCCAUUUGCGUGGUUUUUAAAGAAUGUGUCUUUAUUGAUAGCAUGCAUGUAUUGUUGUUAGAAGAUGAUUGUUUUUAAGUAGCCCAUUUAAAAUGCCAGAUGUGUUACAAAUGAUGUUUUUGAAAAAAUGUCACAUGGUGUAUUUAAUUCUAAAUGUUCAUGAUAAUUUCUUUACAAAUGCAGAUUAAAUUGUAUGAUUAAAGAUGAAAUCAUUCAAACUCAACCAUGUAAAAACCUAUUAUUAUUAUUAUUAUUAUUAUUAUUAUUAUUAUUAUUAUUAUUUUUAGCUGGAAAUCAACUAAACUGAAUUCUGCUUAAAAUUACAGCAUUUUGCCAUUCACUUUGGUUUGUUUGUAGGCUCUUCCUUGCUGUGAAGGGUCAGAUGUCACAAAGAGGUUUGCGUAUCAUGUGUUGUAGGAAACAUUUUCAAUCUCACCAUUUAGGGAUUUAAACCCCCAGUUAUUGUGUUUUGCACAGCCAUGUUAUCUUUCCCUAAUCAUGAUAAAUGCAUCUUGCAGGCGAGACCCUAUCAAUAUUGCCUCUGCUUUUUUCACUGUUUAUGGAGUAGUGCAAUAUUGCUUAUAGGGUCUUGACUUUAAGGGUAAUCUGCAAUUUCAGGAUCAUUCAGGGAUUUGAUUGUCCUUUGUCAUUUUUAUUAAAAUAUGCAAUGAUGUUAUGCCACGGCUUCACAAGAUCUCAAUCUGUGAAUCUUUUUGUGCAGAGAGAGUGGGGUUGCUGCUUUAAACAAUUUCAUUUGAAAUGCAAUAAAUAACACCUGUUUUACAUUAAAACAAAAUGGCCCACAAAUAUUUUGAUGUGGUUGUAGAUAUAGCUUUCUUUUAGCAGUGCAAACACAGCUAUUACAUUUAUACCUUUCCUAAUAUGAAUUAUAUCAUAAAGUCAGUAUCCUAUGCACAGUUGAAAAGUGAUUAAUUUUAAACCAUAUAGACCCAGGCUGGUUUAUUCAGCAAUUUAUUCAGAUACUCUAUUGUUGUAUUUGGAAGCAAAUAUUUCAGUUUUUGAUAAUGCUCAUUUUUCCUCGACAUCGUCUCAACUUCACAGGUCAAUAGAGAAAUAAAUUACUACAGCA